rnacentral:rRNA from 1 species
GACGAACGCUGGCGGCGUGCUUAACACAUGCAAGUCGAGCGGUAAGGCCCUUUCGGGGGUACACGAGCGGCGAACGGGUGAGUAACACGUGGGUGACCUGCCCUCAGCUCUGGGAUAAGCCUGGGAAACCGGGUCUAAUACCGGAUAUGACUCCAUGACGCAUGUUGUGGGGUGGAAAGCCUUGUGCGGCUGAGGAUGGGCCCGCGGCCUAUCAGCUUGUUGGUGGGGUGAUGGCCUACCAAGGCGACGACGGGUAGCCGGCCUGAGAGGGCGACCGGCCACACUGGGACUGAGACACGGCCCAGACUCCUACGGGAGGCAGCAGUGGGGAAUCUUGCGCAACGGGCGAAAGCCUGACGCAGCGACGCCGCGUGAGGGAUGACGGCCU